ensembl:lncRNA
AUGUCUAUCUACCCAUCUCUCUCUCUGUCUGUCUAUCCAUCUGUCCGUCUGUGUGUGUGUCUGUCUAUCCAUCUGUGUGUCUGUCUGUCUGUCUUUCUGUCUGUCAAUCUAUCUCCUGACUAUCUAUCUGUCUGUCGUUCUGUCUGUCUGUCUGUCUGUCUUUCUGUCUGUCUGUCUGUCUUUCUUUCUGUCUGUCUGUCUGUCUGUCAAUCUAUCAUCUGUCUAUCUAUAUGUCUGUCGUUCUGUCUGUCUGUCUGUCUGUCUGUCGUUCUGUCUAUCUGUCUUUUUCUGUCUGUCUGUCUUUCUGUCUGUCUGUCUGUCUUUCUUUCUGUCUGUCAAUCUAUCAUCUGUCUAUCUUUCUGUCUGUCGUUCUGUCUGUCUGUCUGUCUGUCUUUCUUUCUGUCUGUCAAUCUAUCAUCUGUCUAUCUUUCUGUCUGUCGUUCUGUCUGUCUGUCUUUUUCUGUCUGUCUGUCUCUCCGUCUAUCGAUCUGUUUAUCCGUCUUUCUCUGUCUAUCUACACAUCUCUCUGUCUGUCUGUCUAUCCAUCUGUCCGUCUGUGUGUGUGUCUGUCUAUCCAUCUGUCUGUCUGUCUGUCUGUCUGUCUAUCUAUCAUUUGUCUAUCUAUCUGUCUGUCGUUCUGUCUGCCUGUCUUUCUAUCUUCUGUCUAUCUAUCUGUCUGUCGUUCUGUCUGUCGUUUUGUCUGUCUGUCUGUCUGUCUAUCUAUCUGUCAGUCGUUCUGUCGUUCUGUCUGUCUGUCUGUCUGUCUGUCUAUCUAUCUGUCAGUCGUUCUGUCGUUCUGUCUGUCUGUCUGUCUGUCGUUCUCUCUCUCUGUCUUUUUCUGUCUGUCUGUCGUUCUGUCUGCCUGUCUUUCUAUCAUCUGGCUAUCUAGCUGUCUGUCGUUCUGUCUAUCUAUCUGUCUUUCUUUCUGUCUGUCUGUCUGUCUGUCUGUCAGCCUGCCAUCCUUUUGUCUGUCUUUCUGUCUGUCUGUCUGUCUGUCUAUCUAUCAUUUGUCUAUCUAUCUGUCUGUCGUUCUGUCUGUCUGUCUGUCUGUCUUUCUUUCUGUCUAUCUGUCUGUCUGUCAAUCUAUCAUCUGUCUAUCUAUCUGUCUGUCGUUCUGUGUGUCGUUUUGUCUGUCUGUCUGUCUGUCUAUCUAUCUGUCUGUCGUUCUGUCGUUCUGUCUAUCUGUCUUUCUGUCUGUCUGUCUGUCGUUCUGUCUAUCUGUCUUUGUCUGUCUGUCUGUCUGUCUGUCUGUCUAUCCAUCUGUCUGUCGUUCGUCUGUCUGUCGUUCUGUCUAUCUGUCUUUUUCUGUCUGUCUGUCGUUCUGUCUGCCUGUAUAUCUAUCCGACUGUCUGA